rnacentral:lncRNA from 1 species
UGUUGGAGAUUAAUCGACUCGAGUUUCUGGAGAGGGAAGCAGAGAAUCAGAGAUUUGAGAAAAAAAUUGAGGUUUUGAGGUUGGAAGAGUGUCGCAGAUCAGAAAAUGAGCGGCUUCGGGAGAGGGUUAGGAAGCUUCUGUCGAAAAAUAAGGAACAUUCUCGAAUUUUGAGGAAACAGUGUCUGCAAAGAAAUGGAGAUAUCGAGAAACAAGAAUGAAAUGAAGGAGCUGAAAGUCGUUAUUGAGCGAUUGCAAGGAGAGACAAGUGUUGCAUAAAGGUACAUUGUUCUAUUCAAGAAUCAGUUGAUGAAUUGCAAGUAGGUAAGCGUAGAGCUGGAGCUGAUGAGGAGGAGGAGCCAAGACCAUACCGCACAAAAUAGGGAGGCUGAUGAUAAUGGUUUGGGAGAGGAUAAGAUGGGUUGAAGGCAGUG